rnacentral:rRNA from 1 species
UACGUAGGAGGCGAGCGUUGUCCGGAAUUACUGGGCGUAAAGCGCGUGUAGGCGGUCUGAAUAGUCUGCUGUGAAAGCGCCUGGCUUAACCGGGCGAGGUCGGCGGAAACUCUCAGACUGGAGGCCGGUAGAGGGGGGUGGAAUUCCCGGUGUAGUGGUGAAAUGCGUAGGGAUCGGGAGGAACACCUGUGGCGAAGGCGGCCCCCUGGGCCGCGCCUGACGCUGAGACGCGAAGGCUAGGGGAGCGAACAGG